AAUGAACGUUGGCGGCGUGGAUUAGGCAUGCAAGUCGAGCGGAAAGGCCCCGCAAGGGGCACUCGAGCGGCGUAAGGGAGAGUAACACGUGGGUUACUUGCCCCCAGGACUGGGAUAGCCACGGGAAACUGUGGGUAAUACCGGAUAACGUCUCCGGACCAAAGGUGUGAUUCCGCCUGGGGAGAGGCCCGCGUCCUAUUAGCUUGUUGGUGAGGUAACGGCCCACCAAGGCUAAGAUGGGUACGGGGUGUGAGAGCAUGCGCCCGCUCACUGGGACUGAGACACUGCCCAGACACCUACGGGUGGCUGCAGUCGAGAAUCUUCGGCAAUGGGCGCAAGCCUGACCGAGCGACGCCGCGUGCGGGAUGAAGGCCCUCGGGUUGUAAACCGCUGUCAGGGGGGAGGAAAUGCCAAGGGGUUCUCCCCUUGGUUUGACCUAUCCUCAGAGGAAGUACGGGCUAAGUUCGUGCCAGCAGCCGCGGUAACAC
rnacentral:rRNA from 1 species